rnacentral:rRNA from 1 species
AGUGAACGCUGGCGGCGUGCUUAACACAUGCAAGUCGAACGGUAACAGGAACUAGCUUGCUAGUUUGCUGACGAGUGGCGCACGGGUGAGUAAUAUAUAGUUAAUGUACCCCAAAGACUGGGAUAGCCACUGGAAACGUGAUUAAUACUAGAUACACCUCUUUUAAUAUAAGUUAGAGAGGGAAAUGUCUUUUCGCUUUGGGGAUCAGACUAUAUCCCUAUCAGUUAGUUGGUGAGGUAAUGGCUCACCAAGGCAAUGACGGGUAGCGGUUCUGAGAGGAUGAUCCGCCANACUGGUACUGAGACACGGACCAGACUCCUACGGGAGGCAGCAGUGAGGAAUAUUGCACAAUGGGGGGAACCCUGAUGCAGCAACGCCGCGUGGAGGAUGACGCAUUUCGGUGUGUAAACUCCUUUUAUA